UACAGAGGGGGCAAGCGUUGUUCGGAAUUACUGGGCGUAAAGGGCGCGUAGGCGGCCCGCUAAGUCGAACGUGAAAUCCCCGAGCUCAACUCGGGAACUGCGUCCGAUACUGGCGGGCUUGAAUCCGGGAGAGGGAUGCGGAAUUCCAGGUGUAGCGGUGAAAUGCGUAGAUAUCUGGAGGAACACCGGUGGCGAAGGCGGCAUCCUGGACCGGUAUUGACGCUGAGGCGCGAAGGCCAGGGGAGCAAACGGG
rnacentral:rRNA from 1 species